rnacentral:lncRNA from 1 species
UAUAUAUAUAUAUAUAUGUGUGUGUGUCAUAUUUUUUCUUGUUUUAUUUCUCUUAUUAUUAUUAUUUUUCCUUAAUUUGAAGUCCAUCAUCUAAGCAAAGGUUGGUCCCGACCCAACAUAUAUUCAAUAGAGAAUAUAAAAUAAUUUCUUAUUUACCAACAAUAAAAUGGUCCCCAAAUUUUGCACGGAUUGUGAUUUUUUUUUUAAUAAUAAUUUUCUAAUAUAAUAAUUAGCAAGUUUGAAAUUAAUAUAAAAAUUAAGUAAAUAUAUAACGUUAAUUUAAUUAAUAUAAAUAAAUAAUUAUUUAAUUCUCAUUUCAUCUAUUAAAAAAUUUUUAAAUUUUAAAAAAAAUAAAAUUUGCACAUCGAAAAAAAAUAAAAAAAGACUAGAUUCCAUAUGUGCUGCUUUUCCUAUAGCCCAUCGGCCCAUCAUCAAAUCCAUGGACCCCAAUAGACAUCAGUCACUCACGCACUCGUCCGAGUGUAAACCACGGAGAUCUACGAAUCGGAGAUCCUGAAAUCUCAAAUAUAGACUAUUACCUUCUGUUUGAAUGAUAUUAUUUUCUGAUUCAUUAAUGUAUAGUACGACAGUAGAAUGAUAAAAUCAUGUUUAUUUGCUGGUGUUAUGGUUAGUUUAUGAUGUUUAAUGGUACGCAAAAGUUAAAAUUUGAACAAAUUUUUAAGAUCCUCGAUUCUGUAGUUUUUGAUGAGUUUAUAUUUUUGUUCCGGUUAUAUUUUUAAGAUUAAAUUUUAUUAAUUUUUAUUUUGUCUUUUAAAAAACCUUUAUUUUUCUUCU